rnacentral:rRNA from 1 species
UACGGAGGGUGCAAGCGUUAAUCGGAACUACUGGGCGUAAAGCGUGCGCAGGCGGUUAUGCAAGACAGACGUGAAAUCCCCGGGCUCAACCUGGGAACUGCAUUUGUGACUGCAUGGCUAGCGUGCGGCAGAGGGGGAUGGAAUUCCGCGUGUAGCAGUGAAAUGCGUAGAUAUGCGGAGGAACACCGAUGGCGAAGGCAAUCCCCUGGGCCUGCACUGACGCUCAUGCACGAAAGCGUGGGGAGCAAACAGG